GAUGAACGCUGGCGGCGUGCCUAAUACAUGCCAGUCGAGCGAACGGACGAGAAGCUUGCUUUUCUGAUGUUAGCGGCGGACGGGUGAGUAACACGUGGAUAACCUACCUAUAAGACUGGGAUAACUUCGGGAAACCGGAGCUAAUACCGGAUAAUAUUUUGAACCGCAUGGUUCAUAAGUGAAAGACGGUCUUGCUGUCACUUAUAGAUGGAUCCGCGCUGCAUUAGCUAGUUGGUAAGGUAACGGCUUACCAAGGCAACGAUGCAUAGCCGACCUGAGAGGGGGAUCGGCCACACUGGAACUGAGACACGGUCCAGACUCCUACGGGAGGCAGCAGUAGGGAAUCUUCCGCAAUGGGCGAAAGCCUGACGGAGCAACGCCGCGUGAGUGAUGAAGGUCUUCGGAUCGUAAAACUCUGUUAUUAGGGAAGAACAUAUGUGUAAGUAACUGUGCACAUCUUGACGGUACCUAAUCAGAAAGCCACGGCUAACUACGUG
rnacentral:rRNA from 1 species